rfam:Gossypium raimondii Chr04_contig_1327, whole genome shotgun sequence.
UCUUAAAAAGUUCAUCCAUUUAUACUGUUAAAAAUUGCCAUGGCUAUUGACUAACAAAAUAACCAGACAAUGAUACGUGGCAUGUCACGCGUACCUCCUACUGACGAACAGAGAGCAAUUUUUAACAGUAAAAAAGGAUAAAAUUUUUAAUA